GAUGAACGUUGGCGGCGUGCCUAAUACAUGCAAGUCGAACGAAGACUGUAGUAAUACUGUCUUAGUGGCGAACGGGUGAGUAACGCGUGGGUGACCUGCCCCGAAGUGUGGGAUAACAGUUCGAAAGAACUGCUAAUACCGCAUAAUAUCCAAGAGAUUAGACGCUUUUGGAUUAAAGGAGAAAUUCGCUUCGGGAGGGGCCCGCGUCCCAUCAGCUAGUUGGUAAGGUAAUGGCUUACCAAGGCGAUGACGGGUAGGGGACCUGAGAGGGUGGCCCCCCACAAUGGAACUGAAACACGGUCCAUACACCUACGGGUGGCAGCAGUAGGGAAUAUUAGUAAUGGGCGAAAGCCUGAACUAGCAACGCCGCGUGUGCGAAGAAGGCCUUCGGGUUGUAAAGCACUUUUGAGAGGAUGAGGAAGGACGGUACGUCUCAGAAUAAGUCUCGGCUAACUACGUGCCAGCAGCCGCGGUAAACCUCGUCUCUA
rnacentral:rRNA from 1 species